rnacentral:pre_miRNA from 1 species
GAUGGGAAGAGAAAGAAAAGAGAGCCUAAGAGUGGUGGGCAUGGGAACUUGAUGGAAGGAUAAAGACCUCAAUUCCUUGUCUAACAUGGGAAGAUGCUUUUUUUUGUUUCCUGAUGGCUCCCAUGCCUAUUGUUCUUUGGUGUUCCUUCCUCUUCCUUAUGGAU